rnacentral:tRNA from 1 species
GGGAUUGUAGCUCAGCUGGUUUAGAGCGCCGCCCUGUCACGGCGGAGGUCGCGGUUCGAACCCCGUCAGUCCCGCCA